ensembl:lncRNA
GAGACUUCUUAAAAUAAAAUUUGAUGCCAUGCAUUUAUAUUUUGCUAAAUAUGCUAUAUUUAGUAAGGACAUUCUGACUUGUAAUUAAUUCUAGUCAAAAUACCAGUGUUUAUGAUCAGCCACCGGCACAAGACCACAGGAACCAGUUGAGUCCUCUGCACAAUCUGACUUUGCUGCAGCCUGGAAUUGAACUGCUGGUUUCGUCUGGUCAGAGGAGAACUGGCCCCCUGACUGAGCCUGGUUUCUCCCAAGGAUUUUUCUCCAUUCUGUCACCAAUGGAGUUUUGGUUCCUUGCUGCUGUUGCCUUUGGCUUGCUUAGCCUCUGACCAAAGAUGCUUACAGGAAGGGGGACAAUGUCUUGUAUAAACAGAUCAAAUACACACUGGAAAAGGAGAUCAGAGUGGCAAAUAGGAAUUAUUCUGAAAAAAUAAGGACUCAGUUCACUUCCAGCGACUCAGCAUCAGUGUGGAAAAGUCUGAAGGAGAUCACCAACUACAAGACACCAUCCCCCAGCACUGUGGAGAAUCAACAACUGGCAGACAAUCAGAAUGAGUUCUACUGCAGGUUUAAUAGAACACCCCACACCCGUCCUGAAUACCUCUCCACACAACCAUUCACACCCCCUGGAACCCCCCUCUCCCUCACACCUGCAAUUCAGAUCAGCAAAGAUGAGGUGCGCCAGGUCUUCCGGAAGCAGAAAAGGAAAAAAGCACCAGGCCCAGAUUGUGUUACACCAGUCUGUCUGAAAUCCUGUGCUGACCAGCUGGCCCCCAUCUUCACACAGAUCUUCAACAAAUCACUGGAGCUGUGCAAAGUCCCUUCAUGCUUCAAAUGCUCCACCAAUGCACCCAUCUCAAAGAAAUCCAGAAUUAAAGGACUAAAUGACUACAGGCCUGCUUCUUUAACAUCUGUGGUCAUGAAGUCAUUUGAAAAACUGGUGCUGGCCCACCUGAAGGACAUUACUGGACCCUUGCUGGAUACUCUUCAGUUUGCUUACAGAGCAAACAGGUCUGUGGAUGAUGCAGUCAACAUGGGACUGCAUUAUGUUCAGCAACAUCUAGACAGACCAGUGGCUUAUGUGAGGAUCCUGUUUUUGGACUUCAGCUCUGCCUUUAACACUUUUAUUCCAAACCUCCUGCCCAAACUAACUCAGCUCUCUGUGCCCACCUCCGUCUGUCAGUGGAUCAACAGCUUCCUGACAGACAGGCAGCAGCUAGUGAGGCUGGGCAAACUCACAUCCAGCACCCGUAUAAUCAGCACUGGAGCUCCUCAGGGUUGUGUUCUCUCCUCACUGCUCUUCUCCCUCUACACCAAUGAUUGCACAUCUAAAGACCCCUCUGUCAAGCUCCUGAAGUUUGCAGACGGCACCACACUUAUCGGCCUCAUUCAGGAUGGUUCCGAGCUUACAGACAGGAAGUUAAAGAGCUGGCUGUCUGGUGAAGUCUUAACAAUCUGGAGCUCAACACACUCAAAACUGUGGAGAUGACCGUGGACUUCAGGAGAAACCCCC